UACGUAGGCAGCGAGCGUUGUUCGGAAUUACUGGGCGUAAAGAGUGUGUAGGCGGUGCUCUAAGUUCGGUGUGAAAUCUCCUGGCUCAACUGGGAGGGUGCGCCGGAAACUGGAGUGCUUGAGCGUGGGAGAGGAAAGCGGAAUUCCUGGUGUAGCGGUGAAAUGCGUAGAUAUCAGGAGGAACACCUGCGGUGUAGACGGCUUACUGGACCAUAACUGACGCUGAGGCACGAAAGCGUGGGUAGCAAACAGG
rnacentral:rRNA from 1 species